UACGUAGGGCGCAAGCGUUGUCCGGAUUUAUUGGGCGUAAAGAGCUCGUAGGCGGUUUGUCGCGUCUUCCGUGAAAACUGGGGGCUUAACUUCCAGCUUGCGGUGGAUACGGGCUGACUGGAGUGCGGCAGGGGAGACUGGAAUUCCUGGUGUAGCGGUGAAAUGCGCAGAUAUCAGGAGGAACACCGGUGGCGAAGGCGGUUCUCUGGGCAUGUUCUGACGCUGAGGAGCGAAAGUGUGGGGAGCGAACAGG
rnacentral:rRNA from 1 species